AAUGAAAUCCAUUUUGCCUCCUCUGGCCAUACCAUUGUUGACUGACUUUCAAAAGCUUUAUCUUCUGAAGGGAAAUGCAAGGAGCUCUGCAUAAUGAGAGGUUCAUUGCUGGAGAAGGGGCAAGAAAAUGCAAGCAUCCAGGCAAAGAGAGAUAAAAGGAGAUUGGCUCCCAGCAAUAUCCCUCCUCGCAGGAAGUGAGCUAUGAUAAAUCCAUAUUUCUACAUAAUAAGCUGUUCUGCUGGGACUGGAGCAUCCCUUCCUCAGCUCAGGGGAGAAAGUGUUACAGGCCUGGCUAUGCACAUGGAGAUGUGCAGUCUGUUCCUGCCAGCCUUGGGGGCAGGUGGCUUGCCUGUUCGGUCUCCCCAGAACAUCCAGGACAUCAGAGGGCAUCGAGUUCAUUUAGUCUUUGGUUUCUUUACAGCCCAAAACAUCUUCUGGAGACUGUGAUGUGGUUAAACUAAAUUUCAAGUUUUCACUACAUCCCAAGAUUUUGCUCAAAUUUCUGUGCCGAGAGUCAACUUACUGACUCACCCAUUAGAGUAAACGUUUUUCUUGCUUCCCACACGUAUAUUUCCCUCUUUAUCCAACGUCCAGAUUUGCCUUGGGGGACCACCUCCUCC
rnacentral:lncRNA from 1 species